CAAUCAUAAACAACUUCUAUGGAACCUGUCUACAUGGACACAGAUGAUACCCAGAAACUUGCUGCUGAACCUCUACCAUUUGCUAGGAGCUAUCAACUAGAGGCACUGGAGAUGGCAUUAAAGCAAAACACAGUGCUGUUCUUGGAGACUGGUUCUGGCAAGACUUUGGUUGCAAUCAUGCUUCUGCGCAGUUAUGCCUAUCUUAUUCGCAAACCUUCACAUUUCAUCGCUGUCUUCUUGGUUCCCCAUGUUGUUCUGGUCCAACAACAAGCCGAAGCUGUGGAAAUGCACACUGACUUCAAUGUGGGUCAGCUCUAUGGAGAAAAGGGAGUUGACUGCUGGGAUGCUGCUAUUUGGAAGCAACAUUUAGAAAAACAUGAGGUGCUUGUGAUGACACCACAAAUUUUGCUCGAUGGUUUGAAGCAUUCCUUUUUCAAGCUAGACUUGAUAAAGGUUUUGAUAUUUGAUGAAUGCCAUCACGCAAGGGGUAAUCACCCUUAUGCUUGUAUUUUGACAGAAUUCUAUCACCGUCAGUUAAGCUUUGGCAAUUGUAAUCUUCCAAGGAUAUUUGGAAUGACAGCUUCUCCAAUUAAAUCGAAGGGUGCAAACUCAGAACAGGCGUAUGGGCAAAAGAUUUUUGACCUUGAGAAUAUGAUGCACUCAAAGGUCUAUACAUGUGUUAGUGAUUCUGUACUCGCUGAGUUUAUACCAUUUUCAACUCCAAAGUUUAAAUUUUACAAUCACAAGGACAUCCCUUAUGCUAUAUAUGUGAGUUUAGUAGAAAAAUUGAAGAUUUUGAAAGCAAAGCAUGAAUGCAAAUUGAAGCAAUUGGAUCUCACUGAUUCUGUGGUAGAAUCUACAAGCAAGAACAUAUCAAAAAUGCAUUCUACGUUGAUGUAUUGUUUGGAUGAACUUGGUGUUUGGCUGGCUUUUAAGGCUGCACAGAUCAUGUCAUCCCAUGGAAGUAACUUUCCUUCAUGGGAUAAAUUGGAUGUGUUCGGGGACAAUAUUGUUAAAGAGUUCGGUUUUGUAGCCUCACAGGAAUUUGAUAAUUGCAUUAGAACCGGUAUUUCUUUUUUAACUCGGUGACAGAAUUAGUGGAGAUCUAUAUAGUCAAAUUAAUGAUUAUUCUCUUGCACAUUUUCUUUUUCUUGGUUCAGCUAUUGAACAUCUAGGUCCAAAAUGGUCUAUUGGUGAUAAUGCUAAAUAUGAUGUAGAUGCUGGGCUUUUGACUACAAAAAUCUUUUGCCUCAUUGAUUCACUUCUUGAAUACAGGUUGGUGUGUAUGCACACUCAAUUACCUUUGUCAAAUAUAAUUAAUGCUUUUUCAACCUCUCUUAAUACUAUGCACAGGGUUAUUGGAAGAUUGAUAAAGUUUUUCAUUGUCAGUUCUUUGUCAUCCAUAGAAAUGUUCUAAUACCGUAUCAAAAUUGUGUCAAAUACUAUUGAGUUUAAUGGCUUACAUAUUAUUUCAAAUUUAAUGCACUUUUUUUCCUAAUAAACCACUUCAAAGAAGUAAAGAUGAAAG
rnacentral:misc_RNA from 1 species